rnacentral:rRNA from 1 species
AUUGAACGCUGGCGGCAGGCCUAACACAUGCAAGUCGAACGGUAACAGGAAGAAGCUUGCUUCUUUGCUGACGAGUGGCGGACGGGUGAGUAAUGUCUGGGAAACUGCCUGAUGGAGGGGGAUAACUACUGGAAACGGUAGCUAAUACCGCAUAACGUCGCAAGACCAAAGAGGGGGACCUUCGGGCCUCUUGCCAUCGGAUGUGCCCAGAUGGGGUUAGCUUGUUGGUGGGGUAACGGCUCACCAAGGCGACGAUCCCUAGCUGGUCUGAGAGGAUGACCAGCCACACUGGAACUGAGACACGGUCCAGACUCCUACGGGAGGCAGCAGUGGGGAAUAUUGCACAAUGGGCGCAAGCCUGAUGCAGCCAUGCCGCGUGUAUGAAGAAGGCCUUCGGGUUGUAAAGUACUUUCAGCGGGGAGGAAGGGAGUAAAGUUAAUACCUUUGCUCAUUGACGUUACCCGCAGAAGAAGCACCGGCUAACUCCGUG